UGGAGGGGCCGGGCGGCCGUCGGCGGGCUUCGUCUACCUGAGCCCGCUGAGGAAGCUCCCCCAUCCAAGGGCCAGCGCGGCGCGAUGAGGCGCCACUCCGAGAGGAGUGCGGAGGCCAUAGAAACGACACGUCCAUCGACGGAUGGCCUUGAUGGGGUGUCCAAGCCCUUGAGGACGCCGAUGGGAGCGUUGAAACGAGGCCUCCGCGCGUGGAUUGAGGUGAGCCGCGGUGAGGAGGCCCUCGAGCGGCUCAACGCCGCUCAGCCCAAUGCCGCCUAAACAGAAGGGGGGCUACGAGCCCCACCA
rnacentral:RNase_P_RNA from 1 species